GACAGAGGGUGCAAGCGUUAAUCGGAAUUACUGGGCGUAAAGGGCGCGUAGGUGGGCUAAUAAGUCAUGUGUGAAAUCCCUGGGCUUAACCUGGGAACUGCACGUGAAACUGCUAGUCUAGAGUACGGUAGAGGGUGGUGGAAUUUCCGGUGUAGCGGUGAAAUGCGUAGAGAUCGGAAGGAACAUCAGUGGCGAAGGCGACCACCUGGACCGAUACUGACACUGAGGCGCGAAAGCGUGGGUAGCAAACAGG
rnacentral:rRNA from 1 species